CCCUCUUUUCGCCUUUCCCUCUGUCGACCUCUCUUUCUCGUUUCGCUUUUCUCUCGUUCUUUUUCAUCUUCUAUUUGAAAACCACCGUUUCUCCCCGCUCGUUUUGCUUGGACGUUUGUGUGAUCUCCCACCCGGCAAAUUUGCAGCUGCUACGCAGAGUCGGUGUCCCGUCGUUCUUUCACCGUGCGUGUGUCUUCAAUUUUUUCUUUUUUCCUUUUUUCUUCAUAUUACACGUAGUUGCUAAACUGUUUUCCCUUUCUUCUGUUUCCUGCUUCCGCUGGGAUCAUUUUUACGUUCGCCUUUUUAUACGUAUAUGAUGGACCGCCACUGAACGUUGGUGGCAUGACAGAAGAAUUAGCGAUGUUCGCCCUCUUCGUUUUGGAGUAUCAUGGAUGUAUCGAAUAACUUACCGGUUGUUGUAUGCACCGAUAUGCUUGUUACGAUACUUACUGAACUCGUGUCUUUUAUUUUUAACCGGAGAGGAUAUCUUUCUUCGCUUUCUAUGUCCAGCGUUUUGUAAUAUAUUUUUCUUGGUUCGUGUACGUAGUAUUGACAGGCGAUCAUAUAAUUGUUGGACAGAAUUACUCGUGCCGGUAAUCGUUGUCAAUUAUUUUAUAGACAAAAACUAUAUGACACGACGGGUCGGUCAUGCGCAAGUAUUCACCUGACCCUGCCGAUAUGCGCCUUUAUUGGAGCAGCAGUGUGUCAGGCUGCGCACGACGCUUCUAGUCGCCAUAUUUUACGGUUCAACUGCGAAUACAAUUGUUCAUGAUACAAUUUGAAUAAACUCGAUCGAAGCUAAAAGAGGUGAAUCACGAAGAAUCGUGACCGAGUAAAGUUUACAUUUACUGUUGCAUAGGAACGCAACGUAUACGACUCUCGGUGCAUUACGAAACAAUUACGAUCAAUCUCUUUGUUUUGUUUGUUCAAAUCGCCAGGCGAGUAUCUGUAGAUCAUGGAGUAUAACGUUACAUCGUGCCGGCGUCGAUUACGCUGCGUUUGCCAAACAGGCUGGCAUGGUCGAUAACGGCACGGUUGGAAACGCGACGUGGCCGCGGUGUGUCCGCGGUUCAUUCCCGCUGAACACGGUGUCUACGAUCACGUAGCAACGCGCCGCGUUCGACGUAUUUGCGAACCUCCUGCGUCUGGCAACGUUAAAACUGUUGCGAAUUCCGCGCACCGAUCACGAGACAACGCAACGCGGUCUCUUGUUGUUCCUUGCGUCUACAGAAUACGAUGGGCUCGUGAUUUCGAAUCACGAUUAAAUGAAAGAUUUUGAGAACCACCUGUACAUACAGAGGGAAAGUGCACAAUUUCAAAGUUUAAUUUGCAUUAUUUCACCGAUCGUUCUAUUUAUAGCGAAAGCGAGCCACGCGUUUGUUCGCGCGCGGUUAUCGGAAUACCUCCUACAACCGGUUUCAACCGAUCACCGGUUUCUCGGCGACGUUAUUAUAAAUCCGGCGCGGUCGACGCGCGCCUGUAUCACCGCAUUGAAAAUGCGGCGACGACCUGCCGUCCAACAAGGACGUGUCGCGCCACACAUACAUAGGCGAAGAGGAAAAGGAGGCGAUCCGCCGCGUGCCCGCGCGCCGGUUCCGUCGUCUUUCAGCUCUCUUGCCGUUGUAGAUUUGGCAACACUGCGGCAUAGCAGCGGCAUAGAUUCCGCUCCGCAACCGCAACCGCACGCCAGCCUACCGCCAUGAUGCCAAACCAAGCUGGCCGUACAACGGUUUCUCCGCAGUGACGCGCAAGCCGCCGGGGACGGCGUAGCAAGUACGAUCGAAUCGCUUGCGAGGAAAACGUUCCGUCCACGAUCAUUUUUUUAAUUCUUCUUUCACCGUCCUCCGUAUUUUCAACGUUAUAUCUCGACCGAUGUUUUUGCGUUUCACGGAUUUCGUUAUUCGUUGACCGGGAACAUUGCUUGGCUCUCCUUGCGUUUCUCUGCACGCUCGGAUUAAUCUGAAUCGAUACCCGCCUAUCUUGGUCGACAGUUGGAAAACAAUCGGACUCUUUGACCGAGCCACCAUCAUCCCCUAGCUAUUCGGAUUUAAAUCACUCCGAUUGUCUCUUCUUCGUCACGCGUACAUCGUAUUUGUUGAAAGACUGAAGAAGAAGAAUUAAAAGGGGUAAAAGGGUAUUGAGGGUUGUUUUAAUUUUCGAACGGUGCAACAUGUUCGAUACGGAAAAGUUUAUCGAAGAAAUCGAGAAACGACCGGCGAUUUACGAUGUGAAUCGUAGCGAGUACAACGACCGUAACGCCAAGAUGACCGCGUGGGACGAGGUCUGCCAGGUGAUGGUACCGAAUUGGGCGCGCUUGACGGACGAGGAGAGAAACGUAGAAGAGAAAAAUUUACGGGGUAAAUGGAGAAAUAUUCGAGAUUAUUUCAUGAAAGAGCUGAAACUUCAGAAGUCGCAGAAAUUAGGACCAGCUGGUCGAAAACGAAAGAAAUACAUGUAUUUCGAUCAGCUGUUGUUUCUGAUGCCCACUGUGGAGAAUAAACGAAACGUAGGAGCAACGUUAAAUAAUUGCAAAUCCGAAGAAAGCGAGGGUGAAGUUGACAAUCCUGUGAUCGAAGAAUACGACGUACCAUUGGCACACGCCGCUCCCUCCAUAACGACGGGCAGGGAGUACCUUCAACCGGGUGCCUCCUAUAAAAUGUACCCCCGUUAUCCAAAGCAGCUUUGCGAGACGUCGUUCACGUCGUUCGAUAAUGAAAUUCACGAUAUCUUGUCGUCGCAUAGCAGCCAACGAGUUACGUACGACGAGGACGACUACGACAAAAUGUUUCUGCUCUCCUUGUUGCCGAUCAUUCGGCAAGUACCGGAAGAGAAGAAAUUGGACGUCAGGAUACAGAUGCAACAAGUCCUGGCCCUGGCGCUACGUCCACCGGACAACAAGCAAUGAUCAUUUUAUACUUCUCUGGACUCGAGUUUAAGCGUUAAUUCGUAAACGAAAGACGUUAUCACGAAAAAAAGAUACGACGUGUGUCGAAAUGAGACGUGUUUCACAUAUUUUUGUUUUCUCUUUGGUGUACAGAAGUCAACCGCACUUCGGCCGAGUUAAUCUUCAGGAUUGCUAAUAAUACCGUGGACUGCGGAUUUGUUUACGUCGUAAACGCGAUAAUGUUUCAGAACUUUUCAGAGGUAGCCUUCCACGGUGAUUUAACGACUUGACAGGUUGAUGGCCACGGUAGUCAUUAAAACUAUGAACCAAGAAAUCAUGAUGCAAAGUUGCAAUAGUGAUUAGAAAAUUUAUGCCUUUUAAUCGAGGCAUUAUUGUGUCCUGCUCCGCCAUUCGAGGAUUAAUAUCCUUAGCAUUUCUUAUGAUGGUACGUCGUACCCAGCAUGGCUGCUUCUACUAUGGCAAUCAACGUGUUCAACAAUUGCAACUUUGAGUACCUAUACCUGUGAUAUUGAGCGAGGAUACUACUUUCAAUGAAUGCAGAUACAGAAAUAGGAUUUUUAACAAGUUGAUGUUACUGUGUUAAUAGGAAGCGUGAUAUAGUCGUGUUUUACGUGUAUAUGUAUUUUCAUAACUUGGAAUAUAAAUGGUAAUAUUUUAUUGAUACGUGUCCAACAGAAGCAAGCAUGAAAUUGCUGUGAAUAAUUAUAUAAAAAUUAUAUUAUCAGUAAUGUUACUUUUGGUCGAUACAAGAUUCGUUUGCGUUUAGGGAUGUGUAGGCAGGUGGCAGCACUGGUACCUUACUUUUGAAGUUUCCGCUUUCUGUAUGAUACAAGUUCAGUAUAAAUAGAGGAAAAAGAAACGAAAGAAAAUUGUAUGUGGAAGAAUUGUUCAUGACGUGGCUGAUGGAUCCCUAUGGAAAUACAAGAAUCCCUACACAAAUAACAUAGUAAAAAGAAAGAAAGAUGCAUCAACCCCCGUUGGUAAGGAUAAUCGGCAACCGGUCUGGAACAUCAGGCGCGUAAACAUACAAGGGUUACCAGCAACUAGUGGCGUUUGUUGAAACUCUACCCUCGGUGAACCCUCUUUUCCCUCCAAUUCACUCCCACCCUCAAUAGACACCAUCCACCUCAUCCCCCUCUCUCUCUCGAUCUCUACGUAUCAACCCCUCUCUCUUAGCCGUUUCUCUUACCCUCGCUCGUUCACCAGGUUCCCCUCUUCUCCUGUUCUGUCUCUUUCCCUCGUCGGCACGCGCGGCUUUCACUCGCGCGCGCGUUCUUCUGCCUGUGGAGCAACUCGCAGCAUCCAUCGGCCCGCUCCGGACUUCAGUCCAUGUCGAGAUCGCGGCACCGCCGGGACCCUAAGGACCCUUCGACACUAACGAUUCCUUACACCUUUUAACUUGUAAACUGACGGUAUCGAGACAAAGCUUGUUCGACGAAAAAUCGAGUAACAGGCAUUCUCGAUUCCAACGAUUUGUUUUUAAUUUAAAAAAAAAAGACAAAAGACAAGAUCAUCCUGUACCAUUGAACCAGUACCUGCAUUCUCGAGUCUCGUUUCCCGGAUUUUUCAUUUUGUCUUUGUUACAAAGUAAAUACGACGAUUAAUCCAUAGAUAUUUCUAAACCCAGAGAAGCAUUCGCAGCGUUGAUAAAACGGGAUUCUUAGAUCAGAGAAAUUCAUUUGUUAUUCCGGCCGUGUCCACGGGCCGAAGGAUAAACAAUCGAUUGUCCCAUGAUAACGGAUGCCCUAAGGGAUCACUGGAAUAAAAUUAGGUAAUCGCAUUUGAUGCGGAUAGAAGGAGAAGACGCGUAGCGUGAUCGUUGAGGGAACGACAUCAGAAAGGGAGGAAGAGCCACGAGGGCCCGCGAGGAGACUGAAGAAGAGCGAUUUCCC